rnacentral:tRNA from 1 species
GCGAAGGUGGCGGAAUGGCAGACGCACUACUUUGAGGGGGUAGCGAGUAACAUCAUGUGGGUUCAAGUCCCAUCCUUCGCACCA